AUCUUGCAUGAUGUGGACUAUUAUCUUUUCCUAUUUUAUAACUUUUUUGGCUAAUAAUCUUUACACCCGUCAUUAGAUAGAAUUUUUUGUUUAAACUUUACACGUAAGUACCUUAAAUUAUUAAAAGCUUUUUGUCUUAGUUCAUAGGCCAAGUAUUAGGUAUAUAUAUUCAUCAAAAUGUGUGCUGAAUUAUUUUGUAAUAGUAUCAUUGAAAUUAUUGCUAUUUAUAAGUUAGGUCCACUGGUCCAGUUUAUACGUGAUGGUCUCUUUUUGUCAUCACUGCUAGUUUCCUUUUAGUCCCCUUUAUCACUGGAAAGAGGGGAAACUACUUUGUGACUAUGAAUAAAAAAAAAAUCUUUGAUUCUCUCGUGAUCUAUUUUUCUCACAAAAAAAAUCUUCUAGGCCCACCGAAAAAGCAUGCAUCAGAGCUUCACAUUUAUAGUUUUUUUUGUUUGUUUAAGGGGGGUCCUUUCUGGAGGCCACUUUUAAAUUCUGUCUUUGUUAUUUGUCUGCAGAAAGAGAAAUUUAUUCAAUUAUUUUUAGAAACAAAAGCUAAUCUCCUGAAGUAACGGGGACAUAAUAUAAAAAGUGCCUAUUAAAGGUCAUACAGUGCACAUAAUGUUUAUUUCAGACUUUAGUUGUGUAUACUGUAAUUGUUAAUAAAUAAAGUUAUAUACACUAUGAUUUAUGCAAAUAUUGUUUUUACGUUUACUAUUUAAAUUUUAUUCUUAUUUUCAAAAGUUGUAUAAAUGGUCCUUGAGAUUAACAAAAUAUUAAGCUGUCAUUUAACAUAUACAAAACUUUAAAUCGAGAUCGAAUGUUAUCUCAGAAGAUUUUCAAUUUCCCAAAAAUAAUAUUUAGACCGUGGUCUAAAAGAUUCAUAAAUUACAAGAAAAAUAAAAAUUAGGUCAUUUACUAAACAGUUCUCCCAACAGGGUCAAUCGAUGAAAAUUUCUGCAGUUGUAGGUUAGUUAUUAUUUCACCGGAUAACCAAUUAAAGUUUUCAGUUCUCGAAGAAAUUUACUAGUAAUUAUCUAAUAAAUAAAUAAACGACUUGAUUGAGUAAAUAUUUUUUUAUACGAUCUAUGCAUAGCGGCAGAGCUACCUUGCUCAAAGCGGUUGUCAAUAUAUACUAAUAUGUUACUCAUAAACCAACAAUGUCCUCCUUUAGCAGGUCCUGGCAGGGAAAAGAAAAAAAAAUGUGUCCUACAAGAAAGCACUAUCAUAAAGAUCUUUGCUUGAUGCUGUAGUCAUAGUAGGUGUUACCUUCCCUACAUAGGUGUAAAUUUGAGCAAUCACAUCAAAUUUUAAUCACAAUCCUACACUUCAAUGACACUUUAUCUUAAGGUCCCGUUUGAUGUUAACCUUAAGGUAGCAUUACUGUCAGCAGCUGUACUAACAAAUUGAAAACUCAAUAAUGCCUAUUAAUUUAAUACAUUGAUUUACUAUGACGUGUCCAAAAUAAUCUCUUGAUUUGUUGUGUUGUUGUUGGAGUAAUGUUCUUGGUUUUUAGUUAUCA